GAUGAAGAACGCAGCGAAAUGCGAUAAGUAAUGUGAAUUGCAGAAUUCAGUGAAUCAUCGAAUCUUUGAACGCACCUUGCGCUCCUUGGUAUUCCGAGGAGCAUGCCUGUUUGAGUGUCAUGAAAUUCUCAACCUUUUCAGCUUUCUUUGUUGAUCAGGCUUGGAUGUGGGAGUAUGCGGGCUUCUCAGAGGUCGGCUCUCCUGAAAUGCAUUAGCGGGACCUUUGUUGCCUGGCUUUGGUGUGAUAAUUAUCUACGCCAUUGUAGUCAAGCAGCUUAAAAUGAGGUUUCAGCUUCUAACCGUCUCCCCUGAGACAACUUUUUGACAAUUUGACCUCAAAUCAGGUAGGACUACCCGCUGAACUUAAGCAUAUCAAUAAGCGGAGGA
rnacentral:misc_RNA from 1 species